rnacentral:rRNA from 1 species
UACAGAGGGGGCAAGCGUUGUUCGGAAUUACUGGGCGUAAAGGGCGCGUAGGCGGCCUGCUAAGUCGAACGUGAAAUCCCUGGGCUCAACCCAGGAACUGCGUCCGAUACUGGUUGGCUUGAAUCCGGGAGAGGGACGUGGAAUUCCAGGUGUAGCGGUGAAAUACGUAGAUAUCUGGAGGAACACCGGUGGCGAAGGCGACGUCCUGGACCGGCAUUGACGCUGAGGCGCGAAAGCCAGGGGAGCAAACGGG